UGUCUGAAUAUGGGGGGACCAUCCUCCAAGGCUAAAUACUCCUGACUGACCGAUAGUGAACCAGUACCGUGAGGGAAAGGCGAAAAGAACCCCGGCGAGGGGAGUGAAAAAGAACCUGAAACCGUGUACGUACAAGCAGUGGGAGCACGCUUAGGCGUGUGACUGCGUACCUUUUGUAUAAUGGGUCAGCGACUUAUAUUCUGUAGCAAGGUUAACCGAAUAGGGGAGCCGAAGGGAAACCGAGUCUUAACUGGGCGUUAAGUUGCAGGGUAUAGACCCGAAACCCGGUGAUCUAGCCAUGGGCAGGUUGAAGGUUGGGUAACACUAACUGGAGGACCGAACCGACUAAUGUUGAAAAAUUAGCGGAUGACUUGUGGCUGGGGGUGAAAGGCCAAUCAAACCGGGAGAUAGCUGGUUCUCCCCGAAAGCUAUUUAGGUAGCGCCUCGUGAAUUCAUCUCCGGGGGUAGAGCACUGUUUCGGCAAGGGGGUCAUCCCGACUUACCAACCCGAUGCAAACUGCGAAUACCGGAGAAUGUUAUCACGGGAGACACACGGCGGGUGCUAACGUCCGUCGUGAAGAGGGAAACAACCCAGACCGCCAGCUAAGGUCCCAAAGUCAUGGUUAAGUGGGAAACGAUGUGGGAAGGCCCAGACAGCCAGGAUGUUGGCUUAGAAGCAGCCAUCAUUUAAAGAAAGCGUAAUAGCUCACUGGUCGAGUCGGCCUGCGCGGAAGAUGUAACGGGGCUAAACCAUGCACCGAAGCUGCGGCAGCGACGCUUAUGCGUUGUUGGGUAGGGGAGCGUUCUGUAAGCCUGCGAAGGUGUGCUGUGAGGCAUGCUGGAGGUAUCAGAAGUGCGAAUGCUGACAUAAGUAACGAUAAAGCGGGUGAAAAGCCCGCUCGCCGGAAGACCAAGGGUUCCUGUCCAACGUUAAUCGGGGCAGGGUGAGUCGACCCCUAAGGCGAGGCCGAAAGGCGUAGUCGAUGGGAAACAGGUUAAUAUUCCUGUACUUGGUGUUACUGCGAAGGGGGGACGGAGAAGGCUAUGUUGGCCGGGCGACGGUUGUCCCGGUUUAAGCGUGUAGGCUGGUUUUCCAGGCAAAUCCGGAAAAUCAAGGCUGAGGCGUGAUGACGAGGCACUACGGUGCUGAAGCAACAAAUGCCCUGCUUCCAGGAAAAGCCUCUAAGCAUCAGGUAACAUCAAAUCGUACCCCAAACCGACACAGGUGGUCAGGUAGAGAAUACCAAGGCGCUUGAGAGAACUCGGGUGAAGGAACUAGGCAAAAUGGUGCCGUAACUUCGGGAGAAGGCACGCUGAUAUGUAGGUGAAGUCCCUUGCGGAUGGAGCUGAAAUCAGUCGAAGAUACCAGCUGGCUGCAACUGUUUAUUAAAAACACAGCACUGUGCAAACACGAAAGUGGACGUAUACGGUGUGACGCCUGCCCGGUGCCGGAAGGUUAAUUGAUGGGGUCAGCGCAAGCGAAGCUCUUGAUCGAAGCCCCGGUAAACGGCGGCCGUAACUAUAACGGUCCUAAGGUAGCGAAAUUCCUUGUCGGGUAAGUUCCGACCUGCACGAAUGGCGUAAUGAUGGCCAGGCUGUCUCCACCCGAGACUCAGUGAAAUUGAACUCGCUGUGAAGAUGCAGUGUACCCGCGGCAAGACGGAAAGACCCCGUGAACCUUUACUAUAGCUUGACACUGAACAUUGAGCCUUGAUGUGUAGGAUAGGUGGGAGGCUUUGAAGUGUGGACGCCAGUCUGCAUGGAGCCGGCCUUGAAAUACCACCCUUUAAUGUUUGAUGUUCUAACGUGGACCCGUGAUCCGGGUUGCGGACAGUGUCUGGUGGGUAGUUUGACUGGGGCGGUCUCCUCCUAAAGAGUAACGGAGGAGCACGAAGGUUGGCUAAUCCUGGUCGGACAUCAGGAGGUUAGUGCAAUGGCAUAAGCCAGCUUGACUGCGAGCGUGACGGCGCGAGCAGGUGCGAAAGCAGGUCAUAGUGAUCCGGUGGUUCUGAAUGGAAGGGCCAUCGCUCAACGGAUAAAAGGUACUCCGGGGAUAACAGGCUGAUACCGCCCAAGAGUUCAUAUCGACGGCGGUGUUUGGCACCUCGAUGUCGGCUCAUCACAUCCUGGGGCUGAAGUAGGUCCCAAGGGUAUGGCUGUUCGCCAUUUAAAGUGGUACGCGAGCUGGGUUUAGAACGUCGUGAGACAGUUC
rnacentral:rRNA from 1 species